GGCCAGACUCCUACGGGAGGCAGCAGUGAGGAAUAUUGGUCAAUGGGCGGAAGCCUGAACCAGCCAAGUCGCGUGAGGGAAUAAGGCCCUACGGGUCGUAAACCUCUUUUGCCGGGGAGCAAGGGCGGGGACGUGUCCCGGCCCGGAGAGUACCCGGAGAAAAAGCAUCGGCUAACUCCGUGCCAGCAGCCGCGGUAAUACGGAGGAUGCGAGCGUUAUCCGGAUUUAUUGGGUUUAAAGGGUGCGUAGGCGGGCUGGCAAGUCAGAUGUGAAAUCCAAGGGCUCAACCCUUGAACUGCAUUUGAAACUGUCGUUCUUGAGUACUGGAGAGGUUGACGGAAUUCCUAGUGUAGCGGUGAAAUGCGUAGAUAUUAGGAGGAACACCAGUGGCGAAGGCGGUCAACUGGACAGCAACUGACGCUGAGGCGCGAAAGCGUGGGGAGCAAACAGGAUUAGAUACCCCGGUA
rnacentral:rRNA from 1 species